rnacentral:rRNA from 1 species
GGGGAAUUGUUCGCAAUGGGCGCAAGCCUGACGACGCAACGCCGCGUGGAGGAUGAAGAUCUUCGGGUCGUAAACUCCUGUCGAGCGGGACGAACACUUUUCGGGUGAACAGCCCGGGGAGCUGACGGUACCGCUAAAGGAAGCCCCGGCUAACUCCGUGCCAGCAGCCGCGGUAAUACGAGGGGGGCAAAUGUUGUUCGGAAUCACUGGGCGUAAAGGGAGCGUAGGCGGGUGUUUAAGUUAGGUGUUUAAUUCCGGGGCCCAACCCCGGGCGUGCACUUAAAACUGGACAUCUUGAAUAGGGGAGAGGUCAGUGGAAUUGGAGGUGUAGCGGUGGAAUGCGUAGAGAUCUCCAAGAACACCAGUUGCGAAGGCGGCUGACUGGACCCAUAUUGACGCUGAGGCUCGAAAGCAUGGGGAGCAAA